CUACUGUUACCCUAGCUAAAAAAGCCAAGAAUAAGGAAAGAGAACAUCAGUGGAUAGAAAAGAAACCAGUAUUUCGAGGAAAUAUUCUCGAUUUUCAUGCAAGAGGAGUAAGACUGCUUAAACAAUUUGUCAUAAUCACAAAGGUUAUCUUUUAUUGUAUAAAUAGACACUAAUAUGUCAUAAUUAGCACCUGAAGUAAUACUUUCACAAUCCCGCAUCUCUAUUUAUUUGUUUCAACUUUCACUUUAUCCUAAAGUCAUAUGAAACCUCAAAUCAGGAACAUAUAUAAUAUGAGGCAGGCAUUACCUGUGAAUACACCUUCUCGCUAAUCCCGGCUGACCCGGCUGCUUGAACUUUUGACGCAUACAACAACCACUUAUCCAUUGUGGCGUCAGAUAUUUUGUUUUAUGACGUCAAAAUUUUACGGGAACCUGUGUGAUCUCCAGUAAUGGCGGACAAAUAGCGAUAAGGUGUAUGGGGACAGAGUCUGUAUGAAUUUUUUUUUUUUAUAACUUACAUAUUUGUUAAAAAAAAGAAACGGAAAUACCGUAACGUUUCCGAUUUUGGUUCUGUUGUUAGGGAUUUUACUUGUGACGUUAUUUUUAAAAGUUAUGAGGUCAUGUUCAAUGUAAACAAAGUCCCCAUGUUAGAUAUACUGUUGCCAGCUCAAAUUAAAAAAAAAAUGAUGCUUAUGUUUUUUAUAACUAAAUGGAUAGUUUUCAUUAUAAAACUUGUGUACAUAUACUUUUUUUUCUGAAGAAAAUUCUUUGAUUUGUCCACUUUUGAAAAGAGUUUACUUUUUUUAAUUGCUUGCUUCCAGGAAGCAAUUGCUCGACUCAUUUUCCUUUUCAGUAUGAAAGUGGCUCUUCUCGUAAAAAUCAGGUGAUCACACUUUGCAUGUAUCUGUCAUCAUGGUCAUUGAAAUAAACUGUUAUUUGAUUGUACAUGAUAUACAGGUGUUCAAUAUCAUACCUGCCAACUUUUCAAAAUGCCCAUGGGGGUUUUGCAUGCAAGAUGGCUGUCAUAGUCCUACAAUACCUUUGAGGGGGCCUUCAAAUAUAUUUUAAUGUUGUUUUUUGGCUUCUUUAUACUUUUACAAGCCUAUAGCCAUUGUAAAAUUAAUUGUUUUGUUUAUAUUGUGGACACAAUUGCUCUUUUAAAAUAUCCAUUUGGGAGCCUCCAUGGGGGAAAUCCCCCGCAAAUAGUGACAGUUGGCAGGUAUGCAAUAUCCAUGCUUCUUUGUUGAUUGUUUACUAUAUUAAAGGUGACGAUCGGUAAACUAUGGCUUCAAAAUACGACAAUUAAUCAGCUGCCAUAUUUUCAAUUCACAACAUACACAACAGACACUUCUAGAGAAAAAAAAUUGACGAUUAUACGAUAUGUUUGCGUAAAAAAAGAUAAAAUAGUGCACAGAAGACUAAGUUUAUGAUAUAUACAUGCAUUGAUUCAAGAAUUGGAUAAACAUUAUUUUUCACCAAUCACUUGUUUCAUAUGACUUUAAUAUCAAGGACAAGGAUUUGUAAAGUAAAAUGUAAGACUAAAACUAAACAAAUCCGUGUCCUUAUUAAUUGAUAUUACCAGGUUUUUCAAUAGGAUAUUCUUGCUUUUGACUCUUUUAUGAUCAAGUGCAAUAAAGGGGGUUGGGUUGGGUUGACAAUCGUGAACAUAAAGUGGCAGCUGAGAUGCUGAGGGUGAAACAAACAAUUUUUUUUUCUCUGGGUCAAAAAACAAUUUUUUUUUUUCAAAAAAAAAUCCAUAUCUGCAUUAUAUAUUAUGAGGACUCAUCCGUACCAGCAGUGUUUAUCAAAUUAUGUCGAUAAACAUAAUAAUGAUAAAGCUUCAGAUAUUAGAAGUUCAAUGAAUCACAUGUACAGUCGCUUGAAAUUUAGUGAUUAAAAUAUGAAAAAAAUAAACAAUAUACAUGAUAUAUACAUCUCUAUUUCAUGUAUUUUUUUUAUUUUUUUAUUUUAUUAUCACUAAUGUUCAAGUGACUGUGAAUGAAUGUUACUGUUAGUGUCAAUAGAAUGGCUGUUGUGAUCACAAAAUGAAUCUCUCUCAUGCUUUCUGAAUUGGUUGCAAUGUUAAAAAUGAACUUAUUUUCUAAUAGACUUUCACUGACUUAAUGCUGUAAAUGAUGAUUUUUUUUUUAGAUAACUGACAAAAAAAAUCUGGAAAAAUUUGCCAGAGUUGGUGAAACAAUUUGAAAAAGAUUUCCACACAAUUGUGUUAGAUUUUUCAGUUUUCAAUAUACAAUUUAUUAAUACAAUGUAAAGUAAUUAUGAAUGGACAUCAUUGUAAUUGAAGCUACAGCUAAAUGGGAGAAUAAUUAAUAUAAGUUCUUGCUUCAGGAUAUCUAUGAGGGAGGAUUUUAAAGUCAUGAUGCUCUUUAGUUACAUAUCAAACUUUUAAUCUGUGUGUAUUUUGACGGGAAUCAUGUUCAUAAUGUCAUGGAUGUUAAUAGUAUACAUUUUGUACUUAGUAUUAUUUUUUCCCUAACUGGCUAAGGGGCAUGAGGGGUGUGGGAGUCCUCUGAACAUGCAUGAACCCUCAAACCCAUUUCAGCCUGUUUAUACGUUUGUUGUCUGAAAGAUCAACAAAAUUUUCAUAUUUUUACUGUACUUAAAUUUUUUUUUUAAAGAUUGCUCACAGAAUACAAACAGGACAAACAGGACAAAAUGCCUAAAAAAAUCAAUGUAAAUCUGAAAUCAAGAGGACUAGUCAGAAGAUUUCCCAAUAAUCAUUUUCAAAAUGUUUUAUGUACAUGUAUGUGUGCUUUCAUGUGAUAAUGUCUAUUUUACUAUAUUCAAAUAAUAUACUUAAUGCCAGUAGAAUCACACCACAUUAAAUUAAGCAAGCCACUAAGGCAUGUAAGGCUUUGUCUAUCAUGUCUAUAGACAAAUGAUAGAUAUGUUAUCAAUCUGAAAUAAUUUUAAAUUUUUUAUUAGAUGUCCAACAAAUCAGGAAAACUUUAUACAUUUUUUUUAAUGGAGAUUGCAAAAUAAAUGUUUGCAUAAUGAUAAACAAAUUGUUAGAUGCAUGUUUGAUUCCACUAGGUUAUCACUGUAUCAUGUGUAUGUAUAACAUGAAUAAACAAUAUGAUUUUCGUUUUUAAUUUCAGAAAAGAGACAGAACUAUCAUGAGUGAUAAUCAGGAUGAACCUCAGAGAGGAGACAGUGAGGUCAUGGAGGUAGAUGCUAAGGUUGGAGAUAGUCAGAUGGAUGGGAAAGGAGGGUUUGUAUAUAUAUAUAAUCAAGUAAUAUACUAUAUGUAUCUCCCUCAGUCAUGCAAAGCUCUGAUUCCUUUCACGGAUUUGGCUAUACUUUUUGGAUCUUUUGGAUUAUAGCUCUUCAUCUUUUAUAUAAGCUUUGGAUUUCAAAUAUUUUGGCCACGAGCAUCACUGAAGAGACAUGUAUUGUCGAAAUGCGCAUCUGGUGCAAGAAAAUUGAUACCGUUAAUUUUAUUAUAUAUGAAUAAACCUAUAAACAUGAUAAAGGGCCUCAAAAUGACUAGUGUGAAACAUUUAACAAGAAAUCCAAUGGUGGAAUCUAUAUAAAAAACAAGAAACACUUUUUAAUCACUGCAAUAAAUGACAACCAAACAACAAACUCCUUAACACAUGUACAACAGCCUUCACACUUAACUUUUUAGUCCACAAGCCACAAGCUGAUUUUUUUUGAAAAUUUUGGUUAGAUUCUGUUAACUUGUAGAGAAGAAUUUUACAAGCCCGAAAAGAAUUUUACAAGCCCGAAAAGAAAUUUUUCAAGCUCGAAAAGCAAUUUUUCAAGCCAAUGCCGUAGGACUUGUGGUUAGGGAUGAAGACUGAUACAAUGUACAUGUAUUAUUGUUAAAAUUCCAUCUCUUGUACAUUUUGUAAGACUUAUCUUCAAAAUUAAACUGAUCAAAUUUGUAAUAAGCAUGAGCAACAAGACAGGUGACACAUGUACAUGUAGAACAAGAUGUACUUAUAACCCUUUAAGACUUACUUUUAAAAAUAAAGAAGAUAUAAGUCCCGGAAUAUAUAACGAAAAUUCUUGGACUUAUUUCAACCAUGUAAUACCAGAAAGGUGUACAGUUCUUUGGGAAAGUUUCUUCAAAAUAAAAAUAUGUGCCCUUUUGUACUAAGAAGUGGUUUAUACAACAAAACAAAAGUUUUUAUCACUAGAAAUUGAUCCCUCAUUUAAGGUGUAAUCAUUACAUUGAAGGGUUACUCUCAUUCGAGGGGUUGUUCCCAACCUUUUGAAUAGAUUUCUUCACAACGACAGUUUUCUUUUCUAGACCACUAAAUGAAAAAGUUGAGAAGCAAAACUAUGCUUGAAACAUGUGUGUCACUGAAACGACUUUAAAGUACCCACUCAAAUCAAUUAUCUAUAUCAAAGUCAAAGGAUAAAGUUUUAAAUCAGAGAUUUUUCUUGCUUUUGAACAUUUUUCGUCAUGAUAACAGUUUUCUUUUCUGAACUAUUAUUAUAAGAAGGAGAGGAGACUUCAAAAUUUUGCUUCAAACACGUGCAUCACAAAGUGAUUAAUAAAUCCUCUAUGUGACAUGUGACGGACGCCAUUUAACCAAAUCAUUCUAUCAAACAAUAAAAUCAACACCCUUAUUAAUUAGUCUUUUGUUGUCGAUAGCUAUAAAAUGCAAUCAGCUGAUUAUUGAUUUUCUAUCAAAAUCUUAACGAGUUCAAGGUGAAUACCGAGUAUUGUCCGAUCAGGUAAAGUCCAAGAAACUAGAAAAAAGUAAAUAAACAAGAUGGUUGAAAAUAAAUCGUUAUAUAUAUUUCUUUCGCCAAAUUCUUUCGCCAAUGAUGAAUUUUAAUCGCCACAAUUAUUAUUUUUCGCAAAUGAAAAUGGCGACUGCCAGCGGUAACCCUGCUUUAAGUGCACAUAAGAUCACUCAUGAUAUUUUGUGGGUUUUAUGUUUAUGAUGUUGCUCAGUCUCUUUAUUGUGUAGUGUUUUGUAGACUGAUGUUGCUCAGUCUCUUUAUUGUGUAGUGUUUUGUAGACUCAUGUCAUUUUAAUUUUUGGUCUUGAUAUUGCCAGUUAUUAAUCGACUUUGCAAUUGUUAUUUCCUUUGUUAUCUCAGGCCUAUUUGUUGCAAGGUCAUAUCACAUUAUUUCAAAUAUCUCAACUCACAUGAAAAUUCUGAUAUGACUAUUAUCAAUGAUUAUUAGCAAAACCAUCAAGAUCUUGAAUGAUGUACAGCAUGUACAGCGUUAUAUACGGUAAAAUAGUGGCGUUGAUGAUUUACUUUUUACUCUUAAAUGGUAAAAGUCAUCCAGAAUCCUGAUUAUGCAUGAAAUAAUAGCCACAGGAAUUUUGCAAUCAACAAUCAAUCAUUAAAUAGAAAAGUGACGUUAUGAGCUCACAACAUUUAUCUUACACAAUCAUUAGGUUGCUGUUGUUACGGAUAAAAAUCUAGACUUAGAACUUGUCAUUUCAAAAAAAUAUAUUAAACAAGAUCAAAAAGAAAUUAAAAGUAGCACUGGCAUCAGUAGAUUACCCUUUGGACAUGUUGGAAAGUAAAAAAAAAAUUCAAAAAAUUCUUGAUUAUGAUUGUCAAACUGUAGUCAAACAAUCCCCUUUAUCAUGUUUAUAUAUAUUUACAUUGUCAAUUUUUUUAUAUUUAAAGUGUAGAAGACACACCAGUAUAUAUAUGCUAUACCUUUUUUGCAUUACAGUUAUGACCAAGCUGAUGCUUUAGGUUUAUAUCCAGAAGAUCCAUCUUCUCAAGGGAGACAGCAACCAGCUUUCAAAGAUUUGUAAGUCAGAUUUGUAUACACACAUUCCCCAUGUCCAUUCUCUAUUCUGAACUUAAUCCUUCUUGUUCAAUUAUCUACAAAAAGAUGCGUUAUUUCUAUAACAUUAUCAGGCAUGGUUAUUUAUUUGGUGAAAUUCAGAGGAAAGCAAGAAAAUUGACCUCAUAACUGAAUUUUGACCAAUGAAGAACUGAGAUCAAAUGAACCACAUGUUGAUUAAAUAGAUAUAGUCAAAAGGUAUAGAAAAAGAAAAUAAGUUAAGAAAUGGGGAAAGAAAGAUAUUCAGUGAUUGACCAAACAACACAUUAAAAAUACUUAACCAUCCUUUUCUCACCAGUAACUUUUGUUUUUGUCUCCCUCUACAAAAGUUGUGGUCAGCAAAACCAUGACGACAUAGGUGUCUCUUUUUCAUGUUGUGUUGUGGCCCCGGUGGCUGAUGCGUCAACAAUUGUAAAAUUUUCUGAUUAAGUCUUUUUGAUAACUUCAUUUGAUUGAUCAAUGAUAUUUUCAAUAGAGUUGUAAUACUAUCAGUACUUAUCAGUUCAAAUGACUACUUUUUCAAGGCCCUGCCCCUAUUUCAUGGUCUAGUGACUUUGAAUUAUUUAGCAAUUAACAAUGUUAGUAAAUAUAAAAAAGCAGAUGUGGUAUGAUUGCUAAUGAGACAACUGUCCACAGGAGACCAUAAUGACACAGACAUUAACAACUAUAGGUCACUGUACGGCCUUCAACAAUGAGCAAAGCCCAUACCGCAUAGUCAGCUAUAAAACAUGUAAAAGGCCCCAAUAUGACAAUGUAAAACAAUUCAAACGAGAAAACUAUCGGCCUUUUUUAUAUAAAAAAAUGAACGAAAAACAAAUAUGUUACACAUAAACAAACACAACCACUGAAUUAAGUCUGCUCAAAUUAGUGUGAUAUAUGUAGGAAUUAUUUGUGAUAGAUAAAAUAUUUUUUAUAAAGUUGCAUUACUAUUGUACAUAUAAGUUUUACAACAUUUCAAGGCCCUGCCCCAGGGUCAACUGUAGUGACUUAAUGGGAAUUAAUUAGCAAUGUUGCUGUACAUCAGAUUGUCUUUUUUCUUCUUCAAAUUUUCUAGCGAUAGUCGAGACAACAGUUUAUCUAUACAUGUAGUAUAAUACAGUAAAUGCUUUACAUUUUGUAUAUGUAGGAAACUUAUCAUCAGUUUAUUAUUUUUAGAAAAAUACACGUAAUCACAGAGAUUGCAGAUAUUAGAGAUGAUGAAUUUAAUUCACAAACCUAUAAAACUUGUGAAAAUGUUGGGAAAGCUGUUAUUGUUAGUAAUUUUAUGGAUGGUUAUGUACGAAGGGAUAAAAGAGACUUGGAUAUCAGGCCGUUUGCCAAGAGUGAUUGUGAGAAGCUAGAGGGAGCACUAAGAAAGAUUGGAUUUGAACCUUUGGACAAAAAUCAAGGCAGUAUGGUAUACAAAAACCUGACAAAAAGUCAGUUUGAAGCCCUAUACAGUAGAGGUAAUAUGAUAGAUAUAUCAUAAGAUUAUAGAAUAUCUAUUCUCUUAAAGCUGCAUUUUAGCAUAUUUUUAAAGGGAAAAUAUGAAUUAAAUAUCAUAUAAAUUGGUAUGGAAAGCACUUCACAUUAUAUUUAAUGAAUGAUGGUUAUAUUUACAUAGUGUCCCUAAGAAAAUAAAUUACAAUAAACAUUUUGUGGUCAUACAGAAUAGAAAAGACCUAUCCUCCCAACACCCUUGUCUCUAUUUGUUCUAUAUCUGAAACUGUUUUAACCACAUUUUCAGUAAAUGCAAAGUCUAUGUAUUGACAUUAUGCACAUUGGAAACAUUUUUAAACCUAAUUUAUCAGCACCCAAACUAAGAAAAAAAGCAAAAAAAUGUUAGCUCACCUAGCCAGAAUUAAGCUAUAUAUACAAGACGGGGUGCAGACGAACCAUAAAUCUAGAUUUUCAAUGAAGUACAAAUUAUCUAUUAAUAGGGUUGUAGGCUUACUCUGGCAAAACAAUGAAGUAAAUAAAAUCCACAAAAAUGAAAAAUAAAAUAUAUUGUCAAUAUAUAAAUAUCACAAUCCACGUAAACUUAUACCCAAGGAAAGAAAUGAAUUCUUGGUAAUCUAUUUCAAUUUUCUUUUACUAUUAGUUGCCAAGGAGAUCAACUACAGACCUAAAGGAGCAGCAGGAUAUACAUCUGUUCUGUUUUUUGUCAUGUCGUAUGGGAGAUCAGGACUAAUAAGAUGUCAUAGAGAACCAGGAGAAAAGGGAGACCAUCCAUUUGUAGAACAAAAACACCUGCAGGAAGCCUUCCAACCACAAAAUAAUCAUUCACUGGCCUUGAAACCAAAGUUAUUUAUUAUCCAGGUUUGUAAAAGUUUUAUGAUUACAUCAUUGAGUUGAUAAAAGAGAACUGACAAAAAUCAAGUAGCUAUCUUAUCAAUAUUACAUUUCAUUGCUUCUGUACUAAUCAAUGUACAAAAAAUACAAAUACUGUGGAAUCAUUAUUAUUGUUGAAUACCAAUUUUCAUGUAAUUAAGGGUUUAGGAAUAAGAAUAAGAUUAAGAAUUUUAUUAGUCUAAAAUCCAAAAAAUAGGAUUGUUAUUAAAAUACGAAACAAAAACAAACAAAGACAGGCAUAUUAAGGGCUAUUCCAAAAAAACUUGCCCACCCAGACAAUUGUUAUUGAGACUUAUAGUGCAUUAUAGUGUGAAAAGUUGCUCUAAUACCCAUCACCCAUGUAUUAUUAAUAUAAUGUGCCUUACAACACCCCCCCCCCCCCCCAAUACAUUUUUUCUGGAAUAGCCCUAAUUACAAAACGAUAGACAUUAAACACUACAAACAUGAAGCAUUGAAAGAAAAAAAAAUAUACAUUGAUACACAAAAUUAAAUGUUCAAUAAAUGACAAAUUUAGUUUACUAUAGUCUUGUAUGCAGACUUCCCCAAAACAACAAAAUUAGAUUUCCACGAACAUAUAUUAAGUUUUUCCUUAAUACAAGAAAAUUGGUAUUCACAAAAAUAAAUGAAUCAACAGUAAAGCAAGAUACAUCAAUUCAGACAGAAUAAUUUCAAAGGAAUAACUCAGUAAUGACAUCUUUCAAUUGGAAAUAGGGUAACAUAUGUAAAAGUAUGUAGUAUACAUUGCUUUUGAAAACCAUGUGACACCAAUUGCUAAAUAAACUAAUGUCCAUGUGUAAGUAUUUAAAAAAAUCCUCUUUGUAAUAGUUUGGUCAUUUGAUUCCAACAAAAUAAACAAAUAUUGUAUUUGCCAACCAUAUAGUCUAGAAUAAAUGGAAAAAUAACAAUUAUCAUGAUUAUGAAUAAACGUAUUUACACUUAUGGUAUUUAGCUGAAUCUUGCCCCCGAAUGAUCUUAGAUCUACUCCGAAUCACCUUUUGACGUCAAGCAACAAUCAGUUUUAAAUUGUGACGUCAAAUAAUUUAAAUUAUGAUGUCAAAGUUUACGGGAACCUGUGUGAUUUUACGUAAUGGCAGACAAAUUUGCAUACAAGUGUAAACACGUCUAUAGUUUCAAACAUAUUAAAAAGAUAAGUUAUUUUAUGAGGAUUCGUUUUGAUUUAAUUGCUUCACAUUUUAUAGCAAAUAGGACAGACUAAACAAAUCUGUAUACCAGUAAAUAUGUAACAAAUGAUUUGUUUCCAGAAAAUUGACUAAAAUGUGAAAACAAUAUUAUAUGUAUUUACAUGUUGAUAGAUAUAGAUUCAUGGACAUUCAAUCAUUCAAAAGGGACUGACAACAAGCAUUAUUUUGACUUCAAACUUUAAACAUGAGGUUCUCUUCUAUUCAGACUAUUCCUGAAGCCACAUCUGAGGCAGAUGCAAUAGGUGGUACUGAAGUAACAACCACCAAAAGGAUACCAAGAGAGGCAGAUUUCUUAACAUAUGCCUGUGAUCAGUAUUGUAUAAAAGGUGGGUGGUAUGAGUAUAGAUAUUAGAAGGUGUGGUUUGAGUGCCAAUAGGACAACUCACUAUCCAAGUCUCAAUUUGUAAAAGUAAACCAUUAUAGGUCAAAGUACGGUCUUCAACAGGGAGCCUAAGUUCACACAGAAUAGCAAGCUAUAAAGAACCUCAAAAAUGUCUACUAAGUGUUAAACAAUUUAAACAGGAAAAACAACGGUCUUAUCUAUAUUAGAAAAAUAAGAAACAAGAUUCUCAUAAACCACAUCAACAAAAGACAACCACUGAACAUCAGGUUCCUAGUAGAUGUGUUCAAAUUUUAGUGCUCUUCAUUUUUAUUAUUUUCGUUAAAAAAGUAACAAAAAGGUGAUUAAGGUGUGCAUUUUAGGAGGUAUCAGUGGCACACACAAUUUGUUUAAGUUUGCAAUAAGUCAGUUAAAGAGAGAACCACUAAUGGUAAGUCAAUGAUGUUUUGUACACAUUUGUAUUAGCAUUUGCACAUAUCGUUUCCAUAAAGAUUAUUUGGUGCAUCCUCAGUCAUGGUCUAUUGACUAGGUAACUAGGACUAGGGCUAGGUAUCUAGCUUGGUUUACAUGUUGAAGUUUGUAAUUACCUGUUUUAGGGGAACCACUAAUGAAAGAUCAACAAAGUAUAUAAGUUGUAUUUGGAUUGAUACAUCUUAUUUCUAAUGAGAUUUGUUGGCCCUGUAUUUAAUCAUGGUUUAUUGACAUUUAUGCAUGUAAAAAGUAUUGCCAUUUUAAUUUUCAACAUUUGCAUAUUGCUAUUAAAUUACCAUUACAUACAGACUAGUCAUAUGUCUGUACAACAGUUUAUUUGUGCAAAUUAGACUGUAGACCGGAAUAGCACAUCAUGAGAAGGCAGAUCCAUUUAAUUUUAAGAUUGAUAUUCCUUUCAUUGAAAAUUCGUCAAUGUAAUUGUGCUUUUGUUUUAAAAGAGAUGGCUGCAUAUAUUAUUUGACUAAUUAUUCACAAUGCUAUUUUUCAGAUAACAAUGUCUUUAUUGACUCCGUAGUGCAUGUUUUAAACAAUCUAGCCAAGGAGAAAGAAGAGAACAAGCCUGCCAUGGAGAUACAGAAAGUUUUAAUAAGAAUGAACAAACAGUACAAAGACACUAGAGCAAACAAAAGUUGGAAACUGCCCUGUGUUACAUCUUCUCUUACAAAGCAGUUGAUUCUGUUUUGAUUUUUACAUAAAGGGACAAAUUUCUAACAAUGGAAACAAAAAGCCCUCCUGAAGGAAAAAACAAAUCACCAUUUAAAAAAAAAUCAUUGGUGUGUACUAAUUUGACCAGUUUUCUCUGUAUUUUAAAAAAUGAAAAACAAUUUUGUUUAAUCAUUUAUAAUGAUAUUUUGCAUAAUAUGCUAUUGCACAAUAAUAUGAAGUUUUUAUUGAGAAGUACUGGGUCCCAGGUAUAUACAAGUAUUAAAGUGUAUGUCAUAUCCAUAAGAUUAUAAGAUUCAAGAAAUGUGAAUGCCAUCCAUGUUAAAAUAAAAUCUUUAUUUGGAAACCUUGAGGUGAUUAGGACAUUUCUUUAUACUGGAUUUCAUUAUUAAUUUACUGCUAAUGUGGUUUUAUAUUGGUACAUGUAUCAUGUACUAUAGAUGUUUGAAAGUUGACACAUUUUGUAUGCAUUUGUCUGGAAUAUUAUUGCUACUCAUAAAUUAUAGGAAACAAUUCUAUAAGAGUAUUGACAAAUUACCAACAAUUAUUUUUCUAUGAUUUUUUGAUUGAGUUAUGAUGAUAUGGAUUGCUAAAUUCUUUCAGGUUAAAUGUUUUAGAUAGACAUGUGUUUGAGAAACAUAUCUUACUUAAAUAUGUAAAUGAGGUAUCACAGAAAUGUAAUUUUUAUCUUUUGUACUUUUAUUUGAAAGGUACAGCUGUAAUGGGAUUGUCAAUCUGCCCAAUAGUUCAUAUCAAAUUGUCAUAGAAAGAUGUAUAUAUUUCUUUUACAUAAUUAUUUAAAUUGACUUUUAAUGGAUUUUAGCAGAGCCAUAUGAGAUAUUGGUAUCAAUAAUUAGUGUCCCCAUUAAACAUGUUAAUAAGCAUCUUUAAUUGUCCAUUGUAAGCUUAUUCCAACAUAGCCAAAAGUGAUGUACCAAUUUAAUACAUAUAUAUAUAAGAUUGACAUGAUUUAUUUCUCAAAUUUUUGUGCUAUUUUCACAUUUCCUGACCGGUGUGAGAAAAAUAUUUCUCAUCACUAGUAAAACAUCUGUUCUCGUCAAAUGAUUGGUUGAAGUUCAAUUGUGACGUUAAAUUUUGCAGAUCCUGAAAGCGUUAAUCCCAAAAUCCAAAUCUAAAAAACAGCCCAUCCCAGGGUCCCGAUAAGGUCCUUUCCCCUUUCUUGAUAGAAUACCAUAACUAGAGGCUCUAAAGAGCCCAUGUCACUCACCUUGGUCUAUGUACAUAUUAAACAAAGGACACAGAGUUCAUUGAAAAUUGAAAAAAAAGAUGAUUUGUAUAGAUGUUGAUUUAUUUGUUCUAAAUAUGAUCAUAGUGCUAAACUUGAGAAGCUCACUACAAAUGUAUACUUUAUUUUUACUUAUGUUUGAAGGUUGAAAUUACCUAUUGACUGGUGCAGACUUAAUAUGAUAACCUAUAUAUUGAUUUUAUACUAAAUAAUUCAAUGGAAAAAAUCUAAUUAACAUAUUGAUAUCACUGUUAUUGAUUAACACAUUGUGAGUUGAUUUUUUUACCAUAUAAAGUUAUUAAACAGAAAACAUUUAUAAAAAUAGUGCUAUUUUUCUCAAACACUUACAUGCAAUUGUCGAAUCAAAAGUAUCCUUGGUUACAUUUUCUGUCAAAAUUCCUGAAAUUAGAAUGUUUUUUAAUGAGACAGUAUUUUAAUGCCCCCACAAUAACAGAGAGGAAAUCAAGUAUAAUCCUUGUUUGUCUGUUUGUCUGUCCCUACAUCCAUACAUCCCAAAAUUGAUUUCCGUUCUGUAACUUUAGUUUGCCUCAGCCAAAUGUCAUGAAAUUCAUACACAAUGCUUUUUACCAAAAACGGUUUGUUCAUUACAUUAUAUGUAAGUGGGGGAGGCAUCAUGUGUGUCCCAUGGAUACAAGCCCCAUCAAAUUUUUAAAAUAAAUCUGCAUUGAUGUUGAUUUUUUGCACUUAUAUAUAGAUACUUAUGUCUGGGGUUGAUGUUUUAAACUAGCCUGGCCUUAAAACCACAUGAGCUAAUGCAUCCCUUUGAAUCUAUUGUCCUUUUGUUGAAACAAAAAUCUUCUCCUUUGAAACUGCUGGGCUAAUAUAACUACACUUUACAUGACUGUUUAAUGCAUCAAGUAAGAAAAAUUGCAUCAAGGAAUUUGAUCCAUUAACAACCAUAGCCUCUGAUUACAAAAGUAGAACAUGAGGUUUAACUACAAAUUUGGGCUCAAAAGCUUGAGUAGUGAGAGGAAAAUUUCAAUGGAGUAAAAUUAAUCAGCAGGUUGAGGUCUAUCUCUGGUGGAAAUUUCAGAAACACUAACCCUCAAUUCUCUUCCAACUUUUUACUUGUUUGGCUUUACAAAUAUUUCGAUAUGAGCGUCACUGGUGAGUCUUAUGUAGACGAAACGUGCUUCUUGCAUAUUUUAUAAAUUAUAAUCCUGGUACCUUUGAUAACUAUUAUUAUUUUGCUGUACUGUACACAUUUACUAUAAUAAUCUAUUAAAAGUUUUUGAAAACAAAAGUAGCUUCGAGCAUUAAUCUCUUGCAAGGGAGCAAUUGACUAUUACAGCCAAGUUGACAUCUUAGAAAACCUUUUUUUGCUGAACAUUUAUGUAUAAUAAAAUUUCACUCUGUCCUUUAUAGUCUCAACAAAAAACAACAAAAAAAUGUGUACAAUUCGUCUUGCAUAGCCAUUAACUCCCAUUAUGAUUCAAUUGACGAUUUGGCCGAAUUUUACUAAACAUUUUUACUUCUAAAACACUCUAUCUGCUCUAGUUCCUGUAAAAAAUAUAGUACAAGUCAUCCUACAUUAGCAAAUACUCCAAUAAGAGGUUAAUCAUUGUAAAUGUACGAUUUUGUCAUUCUAACUUAUUUGUUACAGCAGAUCUUAUUUCUGGUAAUUUUUACUUUUGGAGAUUCCUCUCAAUCUAUAAUAGUUUGAAGAUCAUAAAACACACCAAUAUUUGCUAAAAAAUGAAAUUUAAGGGAAUAACAACAAAACUAUUUUUGUCAUUUUUUUUUAAUACCUGAGAAGAUAAAACUUGUCAUGAUGACCUGCCAAUUUUUUGUUUAAUCUGCUUUGAUUUAUGAAGUGUGAGCCAAAAACUUUACGACAUUUGCUGAAAAUGGACAUAUCAGCGACAAUAUCUUUCAAAGAAGGUUUUCCUAUGUAAUAUAANNNNNNNNNNNNNNNNNNNNNNNNNNNNNNNNNNNNNNNNNNNNNNNNNNNNNNNNNNNNNNNNNNNNNNNNNNNNNNNNNNNNNNNNNNNNNNNNNNNNNNNNNNNNNNNNNNNNNNNNNNNNNNNNNNNNNNNNNNNNNNNNNNNNNNNNNNNNNNNNNNNNNNNNNNNNNNNNNNNNNNNNNNNNNNNNNNNNNNNNNNNNNNNNNNNNNNNNNNNNNNNNNNNNNNNNNNNNNNNNNNNNNNNNNNNNNNNNNNNNNNNNNNNNNNNNNNNNNNNNNNNNNNNNNNNNNNNNNNNNNNNNNNNNNNNNNNNNNNNNNNNNNNNNNNNNNNNNNNNNNNNNNNNNNNNNNNNNNNNNNNNNNNNNNNNNNNNNNNNNNNNNNNNNNNNNNNNNNNNNNNNNNNNNNNNNNNNNNNNNNNNNNNNNNNNNNNNNNNNNNNNNNNNNNNNNNNNNNNNNNNNNNNNNNNNNNNNNNNNNNNNNNNNNNNNNNNNNNNNNNNNNNNNNNNNNNNNNNNNNNNNNNNNNNNNNNNNNNNNNNNNNNNNNNNNNNNNNNNNNNNNNNNNNNNNNNNNNNNNNNNNNNNNNNNNNNNNNNNNNNNNNNNNNNNNNNNNNNNNNNNNNNNNNNNNNNNNNNNNNNNNNNNNNNNNNNNNNNNNNNNNNNNNNNNNNNNNNNNNNNNNNNNNNNNNNNNNNNNNNNNNNNNNNNNNNNNNNNNNNNNNNNNNNNNNNNNNNNNNNNNNNNNNNNNNNNNNNNNNNNNNNNNNNNNNNNNNNNNNNNNNNNNNNNNNNNNNNNNNNNNNNNNNNNNNNNNNNNNNNNNNNNNNNNNNNNNNNNNNNNNNNNNNNNNNNNNNNNNNNNNNNNNNNNNNNNNNNNNNNNNNNNNNNNNNNNNNNNNNNNNNNNNNNNNNNNNNNNNNNNNNNNNNNNNNNNNNNNNNNNNNNNNNNNNNNNNNNNNNNNNNNNNNNNNNNNNNNNNNNNNNNNNNNNNNNNNNNNNNNAGGUAUUAAACAUUUUAUUAUUGAUAACAUUAACAUAGUAAGAAGAUAAAAUGUUGUCAAUUAGAAAUUAAAAAAAGAAAGCCAACAUCACAAGACACAAUAAAAAGACACAUUAUUAUGAUAUAUUAUGAUAAUGGAUUGGCCAGUAUUGAGCUCAUUAAAAACUAAAAUCUAAUGCAGGUGCUCUUUAAUACAGAUUUCAAGUUAUUGUUCCUUUAUUGAUAAUCGAAUAAAUUUAGAUGAACUAUAUGAUGAGAAAAGUCAUCAUACAAAUGGUAAUUUGCUUAUUCAUCUCUUCUAUCGGUGUUAAUAUAUUUCCCUAUCCUAAUGAAUAAACCAAAAAGAGAGUUUGAAACGAGUAAUCAGUUUGCCUGUGUCAUACGUGUCAUAUCGAAGAAUGUAUUUCUUUAUUGAUUUUUAUUUGUUUUGUCUAUUCUUUUAUGUUGGUUUUGUUGUUGUGUCUUUUUUACGUUUUUUGACUAAUGAUUUGAAUUUUUUGUUGUAGUUUGGUUAUUAAUUUUAACUUUUGUUUUUUGUCUGUUUGUUUCCUUGUUUUUGUUUGUGGUUUUGAAUCAACGAAAAUAAUAGGGAGUGAUUAACAACUUUUUAUCAUUUUUUUGUUUUUUGUUUUUGUGAAAUAAAUAUGCAUAUAGGUUGUUUGAAGUAAUAUAGGUCUAACAACUUAUUACAAAUGUAAUCAUUUUUUUAUUUCCAAGGUCUGAAAAAAGAAACCCUUUUGUUGACACCAAAUGAUCAGCAUUUCGUGCAGCUGGCACGAAAAAUAGGAAUUGCAGACUUUUACAAUUUCUUCAUCUACUUGGCAUGAAAAGCUGUUACGAAACUUAAUUUUAGUUAUUCUCUAACCUAUGAUUUUAUGCUGAUGGGGCUCUUCAAUGGGGGAUAAAAAAGAGAGCGUAAUCGCUGCACUUAAGGAAUCUUUUAGAGCAUUGAGGCUUGGCGCAACAUUAUCUGUGUCAGGUAAAAUCUAGUUGUAUUACAUAGCAUUUUUCAGAAAUUCCAGAUACCAAUUACUUAAUCAACAUUUUCGCUGAUAACAUUUCCUAUUAACCUAGUUUAAUUUACAUAUCAAUGGCUGGCUCAAUCAAAACUUGAUUAAGAGUUCAUUGUCAUCGCAGUUUAUUUCAAGUGAAAAAAAAAACAUAAAAGAAAAGCAAUUCAAUAAACGAUGAAGGACCUGCAUGUACAAUGCAAUGAUUGCCUCGCCUUGAACAUAAGGUAUUUUCAAACAUUAUUUUUGAAGAUUUACUGCAUAAUUAUUAGACAAUUGAUACUUUCCUCGACAGACUGAUUAUUUUUGAAAAAUCAACGUGUGGUCGCAUCCAUCUUCGUUGUGAAAAAUUGAAUUAUUGCUUUCCUUAAAAAACCCACCCCAAAAUACGUGUAUGCAUGAUGACGUCACAUCCGAAGAGCACAUGUGUAUGCACAUCUUUCAAAAAAAGGAAUACUAGUAGAUAGCCAGCAUAUCUUUGAAAAAUCAAUAUAGACAAAUUUUACUGUCUCGAGUAUGAUAUGUGAUGAUUGGUAUAUUUAGCUAUUAACUUUAAAUGUAAUGUUUGAAGUGAAAACUAAUCUUCAACGUUGACAGUUGACAUUGUUCAGGAAUAAUUCUAUAAUAAAGCCAGUUGUGCCGAGGCUGUCCUUGUCUAUAAUGAUUUUCACUUAGAUAUUGACUUAGACUCGAUUUUCAUCAUAAUUUACACGUAUAUCUAUCGUAUAAACCUUAUAACAAGUUUUAUAUUUUAUUGUUAGAUUAUACUUCACUAUAUCAAUUUUUUUUAAUUUUUUUAUUUAUGUCGAUUUACAGGUGAACAGGGAGGAUCAUACUUUAUUGGGUAGGUAACUUUAUUUGUUGUAUAACUACAUGUCUUAAUAUCUUGACAAAACCCUUCUCCCCGUUUCCAUAUUUUGUGACAUACCAUUUUCAAGAAAAAUCAUAUCAAUAUAGGCAAUAAACUUAUAAAUUAUACAGCCAAGUUAAAUGAAUUAUUGAACGAUUUUAAUUCAAUUUUGAGGACUGUAAUUUGUUUCGCCCAUAGUGAAAUGUAAAAUAUGUGAAUCGCUUUUUGUAUUUUGUACUUGUAUAUAUCACUUCAAUUUCACAUAUAAUUACACAGAGAAAGCACAUACUCGCCUGCAAGAUGUUCCAUCAGAUCAUGUUAUAAGAAGUUUGAUAGACAGAAAGAUGAUCGGUGAUUGCGUGGUCCACUUGGGAGUUGAAUUGGGUCUCAGCAUUAGGAACAUCAAGGAGACUAUGUACAAUUUUCCAAGAGAUUUGAAUGGUCAAAUCUUUAAUCUUCUUAUGAAAUGGAAGAACUCGAAAAUCUAAAAAAAACCACAAUUUACCGACUCAUGGUAGCUUUACAACGUGUGACGGCAGCAGAAGGACUAGUGUUCCUGAAGAAAACGUAUGGUGUUGAGUAAGAAGAUGUAUGAAGACGUUAAAAACAAAAAAGAUAUUUUGUUUUAGAAACACUUACCGAAAAGUUUUGAAAAAAGUAUGAUUCUAGAAAAAAUUUUAUUUUUUGGAAAGGACUUGAUUUUGCUUUGAAGUUGAAAAACAAAUUUGUUUUUGAUGUAAUCAAUAUAUUUAUUUAAUCUUAACAGUGUUAUUGUAAUGUCUCUCAUGAUUUAGAGGAUUUUGUUUGUGUCAGAAUUUUUUUAUGCUAAUUUUAGCUUUUGAGUUUGGACGACCUGACUGACUGGUUACAAUAGAGUACAUACGGUAGAGGUUUGACAAUAGAAAAAAAUCGAGGGAGGUACAGAAAAUGAUAGUCAACUCCUUACUUACAUAGGGCUUCCAAUUCGCUCUAUUGAAUGCAUAGAUUUGCAGUAUCGAAACGUCAGAAUGACGGUGUACAGCUUAUUCUACCCAUAAUUGUUGUGUAUAAUCAUAUUUACAUGUACACUAUUGUGUGUAUCGCGCUUUCUGUUUAACACGAUCAUUGUAACAACUACAUGGUUUUAUACUUAAUGAGUCAUAAUGACCUUUUCAAAUGUUCACAAAAAAACAUUAUUAAUCCAAUGAACGCAAAAGGGCAAAAAGCAACAAAAAAUUCGAAAAGUCGAAAAAUUGUAUAUUGUCGGUGACUAAUCAUUAUUUUUCUGUUAUUUUUUUUAUUUUGGUCCUUUAGGUUCAAUCAUAUCCCAUCGAUUACUAGUAUUUUUAUGGUUAAUCAGUCAAAUGAAAUUUAGUUUAAAAGCAACAGCUUUUUGUUCCACGACUGACAGGUUAUUGUUUGUGUUAUUAAUUCAUAAAGCAACACCAGGUAAAAGCUGUUUAUUUGAUUAAUCUGUUUCACUAAAGAAAUAUAGAUAUGAGUAUGACCAUAACUGAUGUCAGUCAUACACUAUUGCUGACUUUAAGACAACAGAUUACUUCAAAUCACAGUUUUGACUAUAUAUCACCAUUGAUUGAUAUAAAUGUGAAACAGAGUGUGAUAUUUUUCCUUUCGACAAAUGUUAUUUACUUUUUUUUUAGUGCCAUUAGAUGUUUAUUAAUAUAAAAUGCGUUUUGAAUUUUAUUACAUUUAAUAUUUGCUUAUCAAUUUAUGACUUUGCACUUUAGUUUCUUCAUUUGUAGCAUCUUACUUCACCUAUCUAUUUACAGCUUUUUUUAUAUAGAAUUAAGACUUAUAUUUAAAAUGCCUUAAUUAAUAUCACUCAUGUUAUACCUGUAAUAAUUUAAUUUUGGAUGUAACGCGUCUUCUAAUUGGCUAACGUCGUUUUGUUUAUCAGCUCAUAGACAUUAUUUUGUCAUGUGACCGAGACGUCAUAACGUUUUGUCGUUGUAUUCUCCGGUAUAAAAUGGAAUUUACAAUUAAUUUAUAAGAAAUGACUUUUAAAAAAAUCUGUCUAUUCGAAAUAACAUGAAAAAAGUGGUGCACCACAUUUGUUAUGUUAUUUCUUCCUAGACAGAAAAAAUAUUAGAGUAAUUUCUUAAUUCAAUAUCAACAAGGUAUUAGAUAAAACUGGACAUCAACAUCAAGUUUAGAAAAAAACUCUAGUUCUUUAAACCGCAUAAUUUCAUGAUGUUAGUUCCAUUAUUUUUUAAUUUGAUGGAACUAUCUUUUUUUUCUUCUUAGUUGAUUGUUUCAUAUUGAACCUAUUUAUUAUGAUUUAAAGACAUCUUGUGCAUUAUAACUUACCGUAAGAAAUAAAUUGCAAACACUUGAUAGUAUGAUUAAACCUUUUCAUGUUAUGUAAACAUGAAAACUUAGGAACUAAGCUUACUCCAUGCAUGCAUGGGCGAUUGCAACUAACGUUAACUUAGUUCAUGCUUGCAUGGACUAACACAACAGACUUAGUGCUUGCAUGCAUGAGCUAAACUACCUUUACAUAGACAUUGGAAAUUAUUCAAUUAUUCAAGCAGACUUACUCCAUGCAAGCAUGGACUAAGUUAUUGUUAGUUGCCUUCGUCCAUGCAUGCAUGGAGGAAGCUUAGUUCCAAAGUUUUCUUGUUUAUAUAACAUGAAAAGGUUUAGUCUUACUAUCAAAUGUUUGCAAUUUAUUUCUUUUUUUUUGUUUAGUGUAUCUAUGUAACAUUUUUUUGUUUAUUGUAUCAAUGUAACAUUUGUUUUUUUGGUUAGUACUGCUUAUAAAUGAAUUUACAUAAAUUUUAUUAGAAUAGUGUAACAAUAAAAGUAUAGUAAAACGUAGUCCUGAUUUUUUCUCAAUUUAGUCAAAUUCACAAUUCAUUGCAUAACUGUAUACAAUCAAUACGUAGGAACUUUAUACAUGAUCAACAAGAACCCAAUAAAUGCAUGCGUCUGACCUUAUCAACACCUAAGAGCGUUCCAUCGGAAUUUUGAAGAUUUUUAUUCAGUAAUUUAUGGAGCAGGAUCUGCUUACCGAUUCGGCGCACCUGAGAUAACAACCAGUUUUUUAUAUGGGCCUUUUAUAACUGUCUAUGUGGUAUGGACUUUGCUCAUUGUUGGAGGCCGUACGAUGACCUAUAGUUGUUAAUUUCUGUGUCAUUUUGUUGUCUUGUGAACGGUUGUCUCAUUGGCAAUUAUACCACAUCCCCUUUUUCAUAUGUGAUGGUGUUCGUGUUGUCUUUUCAUUUUUUCAGCCAUGGCGUUGUCAGUUUAUUUUCGAUCUAUAAAUUUGACUGUCUCACUGGUAUCUGUCGCCCCUCUUUGGUUGUCUGAUGUGUUUUGCUUGUCAAUUUAUGUUCAAAGUAUUCUCAGGAUAAAGUCUCAAGGUAAAAAGUUGCUGCUUACCAUCCUAAAUAGUUUGUUUUGUUUGGAAGAAAAUUACUUAUAAUGAAAUCUUUAAAAAAAAUGAGAUGCAAAUAUAAUAGAGCUCAUGUAAACACAGCAUGUGCAUGGAUACAUUUGAGAUUUAUAUGUAUAAAAAGAAAAUGUGGUAUGAUUGCCAAUAAUAAAACUUUCCACAAGACACCAAAUGACACAAAAUUUAGCAACUGUAGGUCACUGUUCGGUCACUAAAUUCUCUAUUUUUGCCUGGUGUAUGCAUUUUGACAACAACAUUAAAUUCGGUACAUUAAAUAUCAGUUUCAAAACAUCUGAAACAUUUAUAAUGCAGACUUAAUCCAAGUUUAAUAAAUCAUUCGCACCAAAGCUGACACAAAGGUUAUUUUGGAUCCAUAUGAAGAAAUUGAUUGAAUAUUUCAGAAAAUAAAAUUAAUUAUGAAGCAAUUUUCUAUUUUGAAGUCUCGUAGAUUCUUUAAGUCCCGAGAUUUGCAGCAACGUUGUGAAAAAUAAAUAUUUUUUUCGAGAACAAAAUAUGAAGAGGCGUUUUAUGCAAUAAUAAUCAGGGGCGGAUCCAGGAAUUUAUUAGGGGAUGGUCACCUUUUGAAAUCUUAAAUUAAAUUCAAUUUUUUUUAAUUGGUAUCAUGAAAAUAGUUACAACUAUAGAAGACAAAAGUUACACAUUAUUUAUAAAAUUGAUUCCAAUUUCAUUUUUCUGAUGCCUGCGUAACAUGUCAACUAUAACAUCAAGUUCUUACUCUAAAUUGUAAUGCACGUGCAUCAGUGCAAGUCCUGGCCCAUUGUUGCACGUAAAAAUGUUUUCAGUAACCCGAGUUCACAUUCGAAGCUCCAUCACAACUUGUUACACUCAUUGUGCAAACAAUUUUGAGAACAACACGCUCAUGUAAUACUCGAAAACAUUAAACCGUUUCCUGAUUUUUAUCUCUCUGACUUGCCUAGUCCAUUUGGAAUUUCUUCGGAAGUAGAUAGUCCCUAGAUAGGUGGUUGCAUUUCUGGAAACAUACCACAGAUACAGUGACAAAGUCAGCUGCUGAAACCAUUAAAAAAUUCAACAAACUUGAUUAUCCCAAUAUAUAUGCAAUUCUCAAAACUGUUUGCACAAUGAGAGUAACAAUGUGAAUGUGAGCGUUCGAAUAUUUAAUGUUUAUUUAUGUGACUUUUAAACUUUAAAAUUGUUUUUGAAUUUUGGCAUCACAGUAAAAAAAAUAUUAUUGGUCGAGAAAAGUUAUUAUACAAACUUUAAAAACUAAGAUAAACGUAAUGUAAAAAAAUAUAAAUUACCUGCUAAAAACAUCUAAGAUUGAGGACUGUCUCAUCAUUUUUACACCUUAACAUCAAAGAAAUCGACCAAGUAAUUAGCGAUUGUUGAUUAUAUGUUCAUUGUAUAAACAUACCUGUUAAGGUGCAUGUAUUUAGUAACAACUUUAUGACUGGUGAUUACGAUAUACAAAUUGAUUUGAUCGACGAAUUUAUUUUUCAAAAUGUUCAAGGUGCACCAUUUUGUGUGUACAUGGUGCACCAUUUUUGCAAACCCAGGGGGUGGUCACCGGCACCGGAUGACCACACCCUGGGUCCGCCUCUGAUAAUGUAUAAUUGAUUAGAACAUGCAGCGUUCGAUGUGCGAUAGAAAAAUAAAAGAAAAAAGAAAUAAAUGCUAUAUUACUCCGAAUUCGAUUCCCGUAUAAAACGCACUUCAUUUAUUUUUAUUUUCGAAGGUAUACUUUACCAUACAUUAUUGAAAUACUGUGUAAGGAUAAUGAAAACCUUGUCAGUAAGAGACGAUUUGAUAUCAAACAUACUAGAGAGAAGCUUAAGGCACACUAUAUCACAAAGGUGUAUUUAGUAUUGAUGUGUGCAGUUGUCCACUGCUAGACGUUAACAAUAUGACAAAGAGUCUAGAUUCAACGCAAACAAAUGAACAUGAAGGGGUUGAAAAAAAUCUUUUAUUUUCAUUCUUAAUUCGUUUAAAUUAAAAAAAAAACAUGUUUUCUUUUGAACUGGUAUUUUCGAAUUGCUGUUGAUAAAAUUCUGACCUGACACAUAUAUGUAAUAAACAAAGUAAAGAAUAAUUUACAAUGCGACAAACAGAACAUUUUUUUCUUCUUAGAUAUUAACAGACAGUCAAAUUCAACAUGUUAGUCGUGUCUGCCUUCCAAACGUUAGUCGUGUCUGUCUUCAAAAUAACUCGAUUGUAUUAUUGCAGAAUUAUAAAAAAUAUGAAACGUUGUUUAAAAGAAAUCUCGUCUUUGAAAAGACUCGUAAAUCUUUAUCACAGAAAAAUAAUUUUGUGUCGAUAUCUCUUCAAAUGACAAUAUUGACAUGAUGGAAAAUAAAACUUGCACAUGAAAGACAAAUUAUUGAAACAUUAGCUCAGGAGAAGCUGGAAACGCCUUACGAAAAUACGACAAAACUCAUAAACACUAGCGUUUAAAUUACAACUUACAAUGAAAAUUGAAAACUGAACAACUGGAACCACACCACACAUUAGGGAUGAUUGCAGGUGUUUUACUAUUCAUCAAAGCUGAAAUUAAAAACGUUAAUAUAAUGUUGCCUGUUAAACGAUAACAGACUCAAAGAAGAUCUGACUUUGAACGAUUUAAUUUUAACGUUAGUCUUGUUAAGAGUAGCUAUGAGAAUAUUAAAAAAGGUGGUAUGCUUUCUAAUGAGAUGACUCUGUAUGAAAGAUCAAAUGACACAUAAUUUAAUAACUAUAGGUAACCUACGGUAACCUUUCUGAUGAACAAAGCCAAUGUUGCAUAGUCAGCUUUAAAAGGCAUCGAAAUUACAAAUUAAUAACAAUUCAAACAAGAAAACCAGCCGCCUAAUUUAUGUACAAAAACAAAAAUGAAUAGAAAAUAAAUAUUUAGCUCAUCAACACAAAACAACCACUGAAUUACAGGCUCACGGCUUGGAACAGGCACAAACAUAUAGAAUGUAGAAGGUUAAACAUGUUAGCGGGAUCCCAACCAUUCCCUAUACUUGGACAGUGCUGUAACAGUACAAUAUCAGAACAAACUAUAAAAAACAGUUGACAAAGGCUUAACUUGGAUGGAGAGUUGUCUCAUUGACUUUCAAAUUACAUCUUCAGAUAUCUAUUAACUUGGUUUACCUUCACAAAUUGUGCCUUGAUAGGAGGGUUGUCUCAUUGGCACUCACACCACAUCUUCUUAUAUAUUAACUCAUAUACAAAUAGAAACACAUCUAACAAAACAACUGAGUGGAUGUGGCCGGGAACUUGUAUAUCCUAACAACAACAAAAAAAUAAGUAAAGAUCUGACAGUACUCACUGUUACCGACAGUUAGUUCAGUGCCACUGACAACUAAUAAGAAAUCAUGCAUCUUAGACUAAAUUAUCCCUCAGCAAACACCCAACAUUAAAUUGAUUUAGUGUAAAGACGCCAUAAAUAGUCAGAGAAAAACAUGACCUCGUGCAUUGCCAAGGUACAUAAAUCAACAGCUUGUAGAUCCGUAAAAUCAGUAUGUAUAAUAUAAUAAUCAUUUUGUAGAUUUUUUGUUACCAAAUCAUAUUUGAUCCUCAUACAACUACUAUUCAUGCUUAUCAUACUUCUUUCUCUUUCAAAAAAAUCAACAUAUGACUAACCUGUAGUUAAUUUCAGAAAACGAAAUUAUGAUCCAAUAAAAGAUUUUUUCAUUUUUUUUUCUUUGUGAAACAGUUCUUUUAAUCACCUAAUAGUUAUUAAAAGUACCAGGAUUAGAAUUUAUUACUCCAGAUGCGCGUUUCGUCUUAAUAAGACUCAUCAGUGACGCUCAUAUCAAAAUAUUUAUAAAGCCAAACAAGUACAAACUUGAAGAGCAUUGAGGAUCCAAAAAGUUGUGUCAAAUUCGGCUAAGGUAAUCUAUGCCUGAAAAAAACUGAAUCAAUCCAUUAGAAUACUGCAAACAGGAAAACGUGAAUGUGCUGCAACCAGACAAUUUGACGUCAGAAACUCGUCUUACUGUCCUUUGGACAAUGAUACCGGUAGAAAAGAUUUGUUAAAGACCACUAAUGGCCAGAUCAACAUGUAUUGAAAAUGAAACGUCAAUAGAAUUAAUUAAACGACGUCAUUUGCGAGACAGACCAACGGCCGCAACUGCUAAUCAAAUUGCUGAAUGCCAUUUUGCACAGAUUAAUGCCAUAAACGUUAUCCAUUAACAGAACUGCCGAAGAAUCGACUGCAGAAAAAAAACAUUUAAAGCUUUAAAGUUUCAACCGCAUAAUUGGUAAAACCCAUUGUAAUGGGUGGAACAACGGCAAAAUCAGAAGGUGAAAAACACAACCCAAAACGUGUAGAACAGAGUUGGUAGACAUUUCUCAUAAUCAUUUCGGCGUUUGUUACAGGCAUUCAUUGCUUUUGACGGUGACACGUUCAUUGCUAAUAGUGGGAGAUUUUAUAGACAUAAUUGUGCAAAUCGUGAUACAAGCAUAAAAUUUGGUAUAUGGGUGGACAAAAUGAUAAUUAAAAAAGUCAGCUGCUUGCCAUAAAAAUUCUCAUUUUUUGAAGAUGGCCACCGCUCAUUUUGCAAAUGGCGUCAAAUCCAAUUUGUUACAUUUCGUUAGUCAUUAGAAACCUGUGUAAUAGGUAUAAUUCAAUGUCAUUUUUGAUAAAACUUAAAGAAGGGUUCCUAAAGUAGGAAAAAACAAUACAUUCAUGAAGAAAAAAUGGCGGCAAAAUGUGGAAAAUGUCAAUUGUAUCAUUUCUAUCAACUUAACAAGAGACAGAACUGUUUUUUUUAAGUUCAAAUGCAUAUGCAGUUUGUUUAGAAAGACAGGUUGCUUAUCUUAUAAUUAUCUUACAGUUACAAAUACACAAACAUCUACACGGAACACCUUAACGGUAGCAUUUACAGUUACCAACACAGCUGAAUUUCUGGCAUCUGCAUUUGUAACAUGGGGAUCAGCGGCCAGCAGAGAAGUCCAUUUUUGUUUCCAGUUAUCAUUGGGUUGUUUUCUUUAACCCAACUCCUGUGGUCAUGUCUUGGUACAUGGACCUGUCGAAUGCAUAAAUCCAGCCCAAACAUGUCCAUCUUGAUAUAUGCUUCUCCUUUGAUGUACUGCAGAAGAUUAAAAUCGUUUGCAAGGAAGCAGCGGCCUUAUGAUGCUAUUCCGCCCUACCACAGGACAUCAUAUGAUUUUGUGUAGGCGAAUAGCAUAAUAAGCCUUUGCUUCCUUUCAACGAUUUUAUCGUGCCUCCUUAACAGCAAACUGUGAUGUUUCCGUACAUGAUACAAACAAAUCUUCUAUGAAGUCAAUGUCUGUCUCUUCAUACAAAAUCGGGCAAAAAUGUCCGUUACAUCUGAGAUUACUUCCAAUGUCUGCCAAGCUGACCUUUUCAUUUUUCGAUGAAAUGCCGACUCAGUGUCACACCCAUUAUAUACAUGGAAGAAAGGAAAGCUGCUACACGAGGACAUAACAGGAAGCAGUCGAAAGUCUUUAUUCCUUAAAAAACUUAUCCACAAUUUGUCCAAACCUAAUAUUGCGAGCACAGCAAUUCCUAAUACUACUACAUCUCUGUGUCAGUACUACUUAAAAUCACUUUUUACAACCAUUUUUAGCAGCAUGCUUAUUAUGGGAAAUCUUUCGUGUAUCUGCUUUUUCAUGGUUACAAGGGGAUAGCUGGGAAGUAUCCGUAUUGAAAUUGCACAGUACAUUUUCAACUUGAGUAACAUAAACAUUUUCAUUAGUCUCUUAAGAAGCUUCAAUAAUUCCGUUUUGUUAUCAUCUUCACAGUUCAAAGUUUUUUAAACAGGAAAUUUAUUUAAAUGACCAUUUAAUUGAUGUUCAUGUCAACACUGAAAUGCUGACUACUAAGCUGGUGAUACCCUCGGGGACGAAACGUCCACCAGCAGUGAUAUCGACCCAGUGGUGUAAAAUAAACGAUAAACGUAUGUUCUUUGUACAAGUCUGGCCAUUCCUACUGUUUGCCCGAUAUUUAGAAAGUUAAUCACCUUUUUCAUCUUAUCCAUCGAAUGCUUUAACAUGUUACAACUGAAAGGGCUUGUUUUCAAACAGUGGCAUCAAAAGCAACACUUCAUACUCGAAUAGAUACUAGAUGCUUAGACGAACAACAAAUGGAAGUGUUUAACGACCUUGACUGGCCAUACAGCCUUUGCAUGGUCUGCUCGAUGCACAUAGGCGUUUGGUUAGCGUUUCAUUUUUUUUUUGCCAUCAGUCAGGAACGAGUGGUGGUCGCCAUUUUUUAGGUCGCCAUCUUGGUUUCGUGAUUUGAUUUGUUGACUAUUUAGGUGUUAUUUCUUCACAACGGCUGCUUUCAGGGCCAGUUUGGUCAGCUUGGCAGCCCGCUAGCCUCGAUGAUGGAGUACUGGUAGAUGAGUCAUGACGUAGUGCUAAGGAUGACAGGAAGCGUUAUCAGGACCAAAGCCGUGAGGCAGUGUAAUGAAGGUCAAUCUUCUAACACCUAGGAUACAUCCCUCGGACGUUAAUCGGCAUAACACUCCCCCAUGAUACAAUGGGUUUUGGAGUGCAUGUUAACGCGGGUACGCCUACUACUACGUCUACUUUACGGCGUUGGAUUGGUUUAUGUUAUCUAAAAUAGUACGUCGUAAAUAACCUGACUGUAAACCCGCAUCGAAGAUAGCGGGUUAAGGAGAGCUGGCCCAGCACGUCCGUUCACCUGUAAUGACUGAGACGUGACUGGAUUAAAUGUGGAUUGGAUUGUGCUUGAUGCUUAGAGGAAUCAAUGACGAUCAAGAUAUGUUCAAGAAAUUCAAAUCCUCAUCUGUUAGAUGAACUACGAUUUCCGUCAUUGUGCCCUUGAAGUGCGUGUAAUUCGUUCUUUAUUAAUGUGUAUCAUAACCUUAAAAAUUGUCAUUAAACAAAUUCAUAACAGCAUAAGAAAUUCAAAAGCGCUAAGCAUGUAAUUAUAUAAUUCAAAUGUGUGUGUGUGAAUUGUGUAACAUUUUAACGCAUGCGCAAACCAAGAACAUGUUAAAUAUUUAUUUCUAGUAUAAACAUCACAUGUUUAGAAGGUAUCCAUCAAACCUGGUAGUAUUUUUUACUCAGAGACGGUCAAAGAAAACAAUUUCCAGAAAAAUAAGUAUUUUAAUCUGGAAAAAAUCAGCCAUUUUAGAAAAGGUGUGGCCAUCUUGAAAAAUUUUCUGAUGGCCAGCAGUUUUUUCUUAAAACGUAUAUAAUAAUGAUGCUUCGUGCUAAUUUUCAUGCUUGUAUCAUCAUUUGCAAAAUUCCCUUGAUUUUGCUUGCUAAUAUCUUCCACUAUAAAAAACAAAUUUUGAAAAGUUCGAAAAAUGUUUACAAUUAUGAUUUAAAAGUAUAAUUAUUUUUUACAUCAAUUUUUAGUAGUUUUAUUGAUUUCCUUACUGUUAUAAGUAACGUCUGCAAAAAACUUUCCUCAACUCCCGAGCUUAAACAAUAGCGGAACAGUAUCUGCGCAGGAGCGGUAAAGAAAUUAAAAUAAAACAAAGUGAACGAUACAGAGUCCAUAAAAGAUUCAAAAUUUGUUAUAUAUUUUUUAGAAAUUAAUUUACCGUUUUUUGGACUUUAUUCCCCAUAAUAAUCAAGCAUCUGAAAGGUCUGCCUGUCACUUACAUGUUUUACAUAAAUGUGAGAUGUUACAUUGAGUUGUUUUAAAAAUUUCCUUUGAAUUUUUCGUAACAUUUGUUUCAGGUAAAAAUGGACUUGUGCAUUCUUUUGAUGAUAGUGAAGGGAAAGUUGCUCUUCUCAUAUAUGAGUUCACUAACACUCUACAAAUUCAAGGAAAAGGGUGAUAUUUUGGUUCAAAAAUAUAUUUAAGAUUUUUGCAGAAGAACUUCAUCAUUUUCACACAGAGAUUGGAUGAUUCAAAAAUUGUGAAAUUUAAAAAUGUACAUAAUGAGGAUAAUGAAAACAUCAGUAAUAUAAACCAGGUUGGAUCUACACAAAAUUCCAAUGUGUCAGAGACAAAUCUUAAGGUUGUGCGGUACAUGACAUCUGACUGUGUAAAGACAGAAUCAAAAUUAGUACACAACAUGACAUCAAUCAACACAGAUACUUUCAUCACUUCCACUCCCAGCUGGAAGUCACCUGAUACCAAUGAACUGUUGUUAGAUUUUAAUACUUUAUCUCCAAUUAACAUCAAUCAUUAUGUUCUGCACAAACUGUUGAUUUCCAAUACUGGCAACUACAAAACCUAAAACUAAUAGAACUAAAACUCAAUUUCAUCCUGAUUUAAAGGACAGUGCCAUGCAAACAUCCCCUGACAUGCCUGAGGUGCAUCAAAAAAUGUUGAAAGGUGCAUACAAUCAACUCCUGAUGUUAAAAAUAUCUCUAAAUCUACUCUCAGGAAAACAAGGCAGAAGACUUGGAAAUGGAUCCAAAAACAAAUUAGUAGAAAUUUAAAUAACAAACAUUGUGAUAGGAAGUUCCCUCUGAAAAGCAUAAAUACAAAAGACCUGAUAAACCCGUAUAUCAACAAACAGAGAUGCAAGAAUUAUUGAUAUUAUCAAUAUGUUAAAGAUAUACAUAAGGCAAUAUCAAUCAAUCAUUGUCCAUAUUGAUGGGAAUGAUAUAAGCAUGGUGCAACUCUAUUUGAUUCAAGAGAACUAUGAAAGUUUGCUGUACUUGCUCAGAUCUAAAGCAGAUAUGAACACCAACAUUAUUGUGUCAAGUGUACCCAAGAAAGGAUACAGAUGUAGAACCGGUUAAUAAGAUUCUAAUUGAUCUGUGUGACUAUUACAAUUUACAUAUAUAGAUCAUAGCAAAUGUUUCUAUGAUGACUAUGGUUAUGUCAAAAAAACUUUAUUUCAAAGAGAUGGCAUACAUCUUACAAAAAUUGGAACAUUGGUAUUUUUACAAAAUUGAUCAAUAUGUAAAAUUCCUUAAAUCUUCAUCAGACAAUGAUUACAGUCAAUACUGUGGUGAAAGAGUCAUGACUAAAUACAUGUAGGCAUGGUAAGCCUGUGUCUUGUUUCUCCUGUAAAUCAUUUGGUCAUAAGGAGAAUUUUUGUGAUCUGUAUUGGCAAAGAGAUAUAGCCAUUUCAUCUUUUAAAUUAUUUCUAAAAAUGAAAAAAACUUCCACAAACUACUUUAAUGUUUUAAAUCAAUUUAUCAAAUGUUAUAAUUACAUGUAUCUGCCUCCAGACAGGAGUCUAAAUAUCUCUUUAAGAAAAGUGAAAAAAACCACCAAACUUGAACAUUCUUCAAAUAGAAUGGACAAAUCUACUGUCAAGUUUUCUAAAAAGCAGUAUAAGUGAUUUGAACAAAACAAAUGCAAUCACCAGUAUGACUAAUGCUGGAAAUUUUACAGUGCAUGAGAAUCUUUGUGUAGCGUUACAGAAUCUGAUAAUGAUACUUAUGAAUCUAAAUGAAGGUAAUUAAUUUGCAAUGUACUGAUACAAAUGUUUUAUGCAUCCCCCUGAGGCCUUAUCACCUGUUGAUUUUAAGCUUUGUUUCAUUGGAUUAAGUGUAUUAGUGACAGCAUGUUUUUGCCUUACUAAAUAAUAAUUGUUAUGAAUUACCUAUUUACAAGAAACAUUUGAAGAAAGGAUAAUGUUUAUGACUUUUCUUUAACAAUGUAUAAAAAUAUAUCACAUAAUGUAAACAGACUUGAACACAAGCUGGAUGAAAUCAAAUACAAUUUAAUGUUCUCUGAAAAUCCUCCAGACAUAUAAUGUUGUUGUGAAAACUUUUUGGACAGUAACACCCAGGAGAAAAGAUAGACUAUCACAAGGUGGAGGUGGUUUGGUUGCUAAUUUUUCAGAAAAAAGUAACAUUUAAUAGAAAAGCUGAAUUUGAAAUAAGUGACAUUGAAACAAUGUGGUUUGAAAUUAAACCAGUUCACAAAAGAUAAUUUUUAUUAUGUUCAGUAAAGACAUGAAUUUGAAAAAAAAUUACUACUGCCAUCAAUCAUAAUUAAGAUAUUAUUUUAGUUGGUGAUUUUAAUAUUGAUUUUUUAAAACCUGAUAAACAACCACAAAAAAAAGUUUAUUAGAAACCUACAAUCUCAACUGGAUAAUUCAAGAGGCAACUAGAGUUACACCUGAUUCUAGAACACUGAUUGAUCAUGUUUAUGUCACCAAUAAAGAUUUGAUACUAGAAUCACAUGUUGCUAAAUUUCAAUAAGUGAUCAUUAUCCAGUUUGUUUAACUAGAAAAGAAAAACAUUCCACUCAUAUCAAAAAAGAUAUUCAUACUACCAUUUCUUACAGAAAUUUUAAAAAAUACAAUAAGGCAAAUUUUCUAAGUGACUUAACUAUUGCACCUUUUGAUAGAAUUGAACAUGAAAGGCACUAAGUCAGAACAAGUAAAAUUUUCAAUUCCACCAGUCACAAUAAAUGGUCUAUUUAAUGAGAUGAUCAAACUUGACAUUAAUAAAUCCACCGGAUCUGAUAACAUAGGACCAAAAAGUUUAAAAUUGAGAGCUCCUUUCAUAAAGUCAUCUUUAACUUACAUAUUGUUAAGAGAGAGCCAUAUCUCUUGCACGUCAAAGACACCCUUGUAGAUUUCGAAAAAAGAGUAGGCUAAUGCCGCUACAAGGCAGCACUCGCACCCGCAAAGUGGAAAGGGAUUAGUAUAAGUUGCAAAACUUGUUUCCCAAUCCACUAUAAAUAAAUAUGUUUAAACUAACUUACAUAUUUAACAGAAUAGAAGAUACAAGUACAUUACCCAGUGUUCUAAAGAAUGCAAAAGUAACCCCUGUUUUAAAGCUGGUGAAAAAUCCAUGGCAACAAAUAACAGACCAAUUUCUGUACUUCCCGUUUUGUCAAAACUUUUAUAAAAACACGUUUCAAAACAUUUGUAUGACUACCUAAAAAGAUAAGAUAUUUUACACCCAGCACAGUCUCGGUUUCGACAAGAACAUUCUUGCCAAACUGCCCUUAGCAAUAUCAUAUAUAAAUGGAUACAGGAUAUGAAUGAUGGUGAUAUCAACUUAGCAGUCCUGUUAGAUUUUAAGAAAGCUUUUAAUGUAGUAGAUCAUGAUAUUCUCUGUAAAAAAAAACUUGAAGUUUAUGGAUUUGAUAAUACUGCUGUUUCUUUUUUUAAAUCAUAUUUGAAUGAAAGAACUCAACAAGUACAAACUGGUAAUGCUCAUUCUAAAAAACUUUAUAUCAAGUAUGGUGUCCUAAAAGGCUCCAUAUUAGACCCCCUUCUGUUUAUAUUACACAUAAACGACCUUCCUAUUUAUAUGAAAAACUGUUGCACUGAUUUAUAUGCCGAUGAUUCAACUUAACAUCGUUCUGGUAAUUGUUAUCAAACUCUACAGUGAAAGGUACAAGAAGAUUUACAUGGUGUAGAGGAAUGGUGCAAUGAUAACAACAUGUUCAUCAAUAAAAAUAAAACAAAAUAUAUGAUUAUUGGAACAAAGCAAAGAGCAAUGCCACAUUACGAUGAGAGUUGUUUAACUAUUAACAAUCAAAUGAUACAAUCUUCCACAUGCGAAAGUCUUUUAGGCAAUAAAAUUGACCCUUCCCUCACAUGGACAAACCUAAUUGAUUGUAUCUGCUCAUAAAGAUCAUCUAGACUAUAUCUACUAUUAAAGAUUAAAAAAUUUCUAAAUCUAGACUGCAGAAAAUUAUUAUAUAAUGGUUAUAUCUAAUUGAUUAUUGUUGUAUAGUGUCCAGUAGUUGUAGCAGUAAGAGUUUAAAAAGGAUAUUAAAAUUACAAAAGAAGGCUGCUAGAUUAAUACUAGAAACAGACCCAUUCCGUCCUUCUGCACCCUUAUUCAAACACUUAAACUUGAUGACAGUUGAACAGAGAAUAAAAUGUCAUAAAUUAAUGAUGACAUUUAAGUGCAUUAAAAAUGAUGCCCCAUCAUAUCUUACUAACAAGUUUCAUUAUGUUUCAGACAGAAAUCCAUACCCUUGAGAAAUGCUGUUCAAGGAAACCUCAUACUCCCUAAAUCAAAAACAGAAUUGUUCAAAAAAUCUUUUAUGUAAUCUGGACCAUUCUUGUGGAAUAAUUUGCCAAUACCGUUCAGAAAUAUUACAAAUGUUAAUUCUUUCAAAUACAAAAUAACAGAUCAUUUACUGAAAUCAACCUAGCUGUAUCAAUGAUAUUAGAAACUGAUCAUGUCAUCAUGUUUAUUUUUUUCAUCACAUUUUAUCAAGUUGCAUUGAACAUUAUUAUCAUACUUGACUUUUCAUACUAAUGUAUGCAAUGUAUAUGUUUGCAUUUUGUUUGAUUUCUCAUGAUGAGGGCCUCAGGGAAGAUUAGUUAUAUAGCUUACUGUGUAACCCUCUUAAAAUAAAGUAUUGUUGUUGUUGUGGUUGUUGUUAUUUAUCUUCUACUGACAUCACUAAAUCGUAUUGGUUUUUAUUUGGCCUUUCCCUAGAUGUUAGUUACCUCAUUUAUGGAAAUUGUAUAAGGUUUCCUUGAACAAAAAUGUUGAAUUCAUUAUAUAAUUUCUUUAAUGUAAGUUUUGGUAGUUUUAAACCCUAGUUUGAUGAAUUCUGAUGAAUUUAUUUUUCGUCUUGUUGAAUACGGUUACUAAUGGACAUUUAACCACGAUGCAUGUGCUUUGUUUGACAUAUUGAAGUGUUGUGGUAAGACACAUUUUAAAACAUUACCUUUUUUCGAAAUAUUAUAUAAGUUUGUUUUAUUUUUAGAUUAAUCUUACAUAACUAUGAUAUGAAUAAUCUGCCCUAAACAUUUUUAUGUUUUUAUGUUGAUCUCUUAUUUAUUAUACCAAAUAUCUAUUUCAUGUGAUAAGACGUAUUGAGUUAGUUAGAAAUCCGCCACACAUAAAGUUAUUUAUUUCCCUACCUUGACAAACUUUAUCAAGGUACAGAAAUCACAGGGGUAAUUUUAAGGGCAGAAAUAAAAUCUUCUAUUUGAUAAACUAAUUGAAUUAUAAGGAAAGACUUCAUUAACCAUAUAUUUGAAAAUCCAGAGGCAUUCAGACAUUUAGAACUUUAAAAUUAUUAAAAAUAAUGUAUCCAAUUAUUUAGAUAGAAAUAAUCCAAAGCGGGACUUGUCGGGGUACCCAUUGUAUUAACUGUUAUAUUGAUCGAAAAGCAAAUACUGCAUGAGUGAGGUGAUUUCUAUCAUUGACUGAAUAAUGAAGUUUUAAAGGUAAAUAUAAAUAUAUUUAGUUCAACAUAUAAUGGGUAUAUUGAUUCCAUAACUGCAUCAAUUCUGAUAAGAUAUAUGUUCACUUGAGACAGCUAAAUUUUCAAAUGUUUAAAAUCUAACUGCCGAGAGUGAAUAGAUAUCAUAUUGCACGUGAUUAUGUUGUUGAAUCUGUGUCCCAACUAUUUUACACUAUAUAAAGGGGCAAAUUUCACUCACAUCAAUUAAACUUGAAUUUAAAUUCAUGUGAAUCUCAUGUGCAAUUCACAUAAAUUUCACCUCAAACGAGCUUCCCCAAUGUACAUGUUGAGUUUUUUUUAUAGUGUAGCUCAUCCCUAAGUAUUCAUUAUACCAAAGUUUCACGACAAAAGGAGAAACAAGUGAAACAAUUGUAAAUACUUUAAAUUGAAAAAAAACGAUUUUGUUUAAAAAUUAUAUGCAAAGUUUGAAAAAAUAGAUUAAAACUUGUGAAUCUCUUUUUUUCUCUGUUAGUUUCAGUAUCUAAAUCCUUAUACUGCGCAGUCAUCAAAUGUAAUUAAUCAAGGUAUUUAAUUUCAUUUUAACAAGACGACGGUUUAAUAUUCAAGUACACACUUCAAUACACAAUUUACAACAAUCGGUGUUUAUAAAGUUAGUCAUAAAACAUUUUCCUUAUCGAGACCACUUUAAAUAUCUUGGAGAAAUAAAGUUUGAUUUGUUUUUGAAAGUCAUUAGAAAAAAGAAGUAUUUACAAGGAAGAACACAGAGGUCAUAGAUGGGACAUGCACAAAAACACACACAUACAAAAAAACAUAUGUGGUCAACAUAAUAAUCUGUUACAUGUGGUUUUCUAUACUAUCAAUAGUAAUUAAAGGGUAAUCUGGACAUUUAAAUCUGACAUUUCUUCAUAUACUAAACAAAAAAGUUAUUGUGCCAUGUUCAGUCUUUCAGUAUAUUUGCAAAUGUUCUCACUGCCUAGAUUUAGUAAUAUUCAGAUAAAUCGAUUGCAUUAAAAUAAGAUCUUAUCAAGUCAAUGUUCAGAAUUUCUGAAAAUCUACUAGAACUGAAUCGACAGCAAGCAUAUAGCCUUAACUUGAUUGAAUUCGACACAGUGGAUAAUUCUGAAAAGACUGCAAGAUUGAAAAUAAUGCAAUUAUGAUACGUGAUUUUGUAGGUCUUAUUUUAUAUUUUGAAAAACUAUCCAGUGUUAUUCCUUCCUAUUAUAUUGCUACAUUAUCUGGCAUAUUCGUCAAGUUUAACAACGGAAAUAAAGAACAAAGAAAAAAAGUGUUAUAAUGUAGUCUCUCCACUUUCCACAAAAAUGGCCUUCACAUAUCGUUAUAACAAUUUGGCAUGUAAUACAAUACUAAGUUUUUUUUAGAAUAAGUUCAUUAUUCUAUGAUCACUUCUCAGAAAAGUAGACGUUGAAGAGUUGAGAAAUUUUAUCGCAUUCAAACAUCCAUGGUCCAUUUCCAACAGAAACUUACAACAUCAUUUAUUUAAGUUUUACAAGUUACAGAACAUUUUGUUUGCUAUGGAGAUUCCGUAUAUCAUGUAUAUCGUGAAGUUCUUGAAGUUCCAACGGGGAUAAACUGUGCACCCCUUAUUGCGGACCUGUUUCUGAUUUAUUAUUCUCUAAAUUUUUUAUACAUUUUCACAUUUCCUGACUGGUGUGAGAAAAAUAUUUCUCCUCACUAGUGAAAAAUCUGUUCUCGGCAAAUGAUUGGUUGAAAGUUAAUUGUGACGUUAAAUUUUCAUGUUUCUUCUGAAUUUUCUUAUUGUGACGUCAUGAAAAAAGGCGACCAUGCCUGUUGACGUCACUUCAAAAGUACACAAC
rnacentral:lncRNA from 1 species